GCUUAGAGAGGGGUCAAUGUCCUAUCAGCUAGUUGGUGGGGUAAUGGCCUACCUAGGCAAAGACGGGUAGUCGGCCUGAGAGGGUGGUCGGCCACACUGGGACUGAGACACUGCCCAGACUCCUACGGGAGGCUGCAGUCGAGAAUCUUUCGCAAUGCCCGAAAGGGUGACGAAGCGACGCCGCGUGUGGGAAGAAGGCCUUCGGGUUGUAAACCACUGUCGGGAGUUAAGAAAUGUAAGGGUGCUAAUAGUAUCCUUACUUGACUAAGGCUCCGGAGGAAGCCACGGCUAACUCUGUGCCAGCAGCCGCGGUAAUACAGAGGCGGCAAGCGUUGUUCGGAAUUAUUGGGCGUAAAGAGCACGUAGGCGGCCUUGUAAGUCAGUUGUAAAAGCCUUCUGCUUAACAGAAGAACAGCAGCUGAUACUGCAAGGCUAGAGUGCGGAAGGG
rnacentral:rRNA from 1 species